rnacentral:lncRNA from 1 species
UUUUUCAGAGGUAUCUUUUAGAAAGACAAGAGCAUGUCCACUCUUGCAAAAGAUGCCAGUGGCAAGCUUAAAUGACUAAUUCUAUAUUUAUAAAGAGACAAGCCUCCAUAAUGUCAAACGACAGAGUUUUCACUGAUUUACUAGCAAAUUGAACUUUCACUAUAAGAGAAAAUAAUUUCUCAAAAUCUGGAUCUUAUAAAUUAAUCCAGUCCUUCUUGAAAACCAUUUUAAAAAGACAACGCCAACCUUAAGUUUCAAUGAUUCAUUGCCUCGUAAAAAUUUGAGGUGAAUAUGUCUGAUAGCAAAUUUCCGGAACAAGAACCCUAUUACAACACAACCUAAAAAUCCACUGUCGUGGGCACUAAACAGUUAGGCUGCUGUCGGGAAGCCGCGCUCAGAGUAUCCAUCAACACAAAUACUGACAGCAGAGUCUGCCCACCAAGCUUACAGGGCCAAC